UCCCUGGCAUUUGAAAACGACCCUGUGGC
rnacentral:piRNA from 1 species